GUAGGUGGCAAGCGUUGUCCGGAAUUAUUGGGCGUAAAGCGCGCGCAGGCGGUUCUUUAAGUCUGAUGUGAAAGCCCACGGCUCAACCGUGGAGGGUCAUUGGAAACUGGAGAACUUGGGUACAGAAGAGGAAAGCGGAAUUCCACGUGUAGCGGUGAAAUGCGUAGAGAUGUGGAGGAACACCAGUGGCGAAGGCGGCUUUCCGGUCUGUAACUGACGCUGAGGCGCGAAAGCGUGGGGAGCAAACAGGGAUUAGAUACCCUGGUAGUCCACGCCGUAAACGAUGAGUGCUAAGUGUUAGGGGGUUUCCGCCCCCUUAGUGCUGCAGCUAACGCAUUAAGCACUCCGCCUGGGGAGUACGGCCGCAAGGCUG
rnacentral:rRNA from 1 species